CACCGGGAUUCCCCGAGUAAGGGCGACUGAAAGGGAUGAGCCCAGCGCAUAGCCUCGCGGUCCACUGUCGGCCGUCGAGGGUUGCUGCGUUUAGGUGGAUCCAGAUCCCCCAGGCCGCUUGACCGUCUAAGUCCUUGUUUGAAUACAGUCCCCGUGAGGGUGAGAGGCCCGUAUAUGGCGGUGUCCUGUAAGAAGGCGUUAAGUGUUUUGCCCGGGCGGAGGGAUCUUCACCUUAGAGUCGGGUUGCUUAAUACUGCAGCCCUAAGCAGGUGGUAAACUCCAUCUAAGGCUAAAUAUAACCACGAGUCCGAUAGGUAACAAGUACCGUGAGGGAAAGUUGAAAAGGACUUUGAAGAGAGAGUUCAAAAGGACGUGAAACCGUUAGAAGUAUAAACGGGUGGAACCACGAAGGUCGAACGAGGGGAUUCAGCUCAUAUCGCACCUGCGGCAGCGGGGGUCGGCAAGCCCAGACGGCGUCCGUCACGGGUGGCCUUCCUCCGUCCCCCCAGCGUCCGAUGGGCUUAUUUCUCCCUCCAGUAGCAUUGCCGCGAGCCGUUGCGGGGGCCCCGAAGGCCAACCAAGUCUCGGAUUGGUAACCUUGCCCCUGACCAAGGUGAAGACCGACGGCGGUUCUGUGCGGGCGCUCGCGACGGGCACUAAAAGGAGGCGGA
rnacentral:rRNA from 1 species